CAGCGCCACAAGUAGUAACCGUAAUUAUUGGGCCUAAAGCGUCCGUAGCUGGCUAUAAAAAUUUUCUGUGAAAUCGUAAAGCUUAACUUUACGGACUGCAGAAGAGACUUUAUAACUUGGGACCGGAAGGAGUCAGAAGUAUUUCUGGGGGAGCGGUAAAAUGUUAUAAUCCCAGAAGGACUACCUGUGGCGAAGGCGUCUGACUAGUACGGAUCCGACAGUGAGGGACGAAAGCUAGGGGAGCAAUCCGGAUUAGAUACCCGAGUAGUCC
rnacentral:rRNA from 1 species